rnacentral:rRNA from 1 species
GAACUUAAGCAUAUCAAUAAGCGGAGGAAAAGAAACUAACAAGGAUUCCCCUAGUAACUGCGAGUGAAGCGGGAAGAGCUCAAAUUUAAAAUCUGGCGUGCCUCUGGUCGUCCGAGUUGUAGUCUAGAGAAGCGUUUUCCGUGUUGGACCGUGUAUAUGUCUCUUGGAACAGGGCGUCAUAGAGGGUGAGAAUCCCGUCUUUGACACGGACUACCAAUGCUUUGUGAUGCGCUCUCAAAGAGUCGAGUUGUUUGGGAAUGCAGCUCAAAAUGGGUGGUAAAUUCCAUCUAAAGCUAAAUAUAGGCGAGAGACCGAUAGCGAACAAGUACCGUGAGGGAAAGAUGAAAAGCACUUUGGAAAGAGAGUUAAACAGUACGUGAAAUUGCUGAAAGGGAAACGCUUGAAGUCAGUCACGUCUGCCAGGACUCAGCCUUGCUUCUGCUUGGUGUACUUUCUGGUUGGAUGGGCCAACAUCAAUUUCGACCGUUGGAGAAAGGCUUUGGGAAUGUGGCACCUUCGGGUGUGUUAUAGCCCAUUGUUGUAUACAACGGUUGGGAUUGAGGACUGCAGCAUGCCUUCAUGGCCGGGGUUCGCCCACGUACAUGCUUAGGAUGUUGGCAUAAUGGCUUUAAGCGACCCGUCUUGAAACACGGACCAAGGAGUCUAACAUGCCUGCGAGUGUUUGGGUGGAAAACCCAUGCGCGUAAUGAAAGUGAUAGCUGAGAUCCUCUCAUCAGGAGCAUCAGCGCCUGGACUUGAUCUACGGAGACGGUUCUACGGUAGAGCAUGUAUGUUGGGACCCGAAA